rnacentral:rRNA from 1 species
AUUGAACGCUGGCGGCAGGCCUAACACAUGCAAGUCGAGCGAGCGGCGCACGGGUGAGUAAUGUCUGGGAAACUGCCUGCUGGCUGGGGAUAACUACUGGAAACGGUAGCUAAUUCCGCAUACCAUGGGAUGUGCCCAGAUGGGAGUAGCUCGUAGGUGGGGUAACGGCUCACCUAGGCGACGAUCCCUAGCUAGUCUGAGAGGAUGACCAGCCACACUGGAAAUGAGACACGGGCCAGACUCCUACGGGAGGCAGCAGUGGGGAAUAUUGCACAAUGGGCGCAAGCCUGAUGCAGCCAUGCCGCGUGUGUGAAGAAGGCCUUCGGGUUGUAAAGCACUUUCAGCGGGGAGGCGUUACCCGCAGAAGAAGCACCGGCUAACUCCGUGCCAGCAGCCGCGGUAAUAC